rnacentral:rRNA from 1 species
AACGAACGCUGGCGGCAUGCCUAACACAUGCAAGUCGAACGAGACCUUCGGGUCUAGUGGCGCACGGGUGCGUAACGCGUGGGAAUCUGCCCUUGGGUUCGGAAUAACAGUGAGAAAUUACUGCUAAUACCGGAUGAUGUCUUCGGACCAAAGAUUUAUCGCACAGGGAUGAGCCCGCGUAGGAUUAGCUAGUUGGUGGGGUAAUGGCCUACCAAGGCGACGAUCCUUAGCUGGUCUGAGAGGAUGAUCAGCCACACUGGGACUGAGACACGGCCCAGACUCCUACGGGAGGGAGCAGUGGGGAAUAUUGGACAGUGGGCGCAAGCCUGAUCUAGCAAUGCCGCGUGAGUGAUGAAGGCCUUAGGGUUGUAAAGCUCUUUUACCCGGGAUGAUAAUGACAGUACCGGGAGAAUAAGCUCCGGCUAACUCCGUG